rnacentral:rRNA from 1 species
UACGAAGGGGGCUAGCGUUGCUCGGAAUUACUGGGCGUAAAGCGCACGUAGGCGGCUUUCUAAGUCGGAGGUGAAAUCCUGGAGCUCAACUCCAGAACUGCCUUUGAUACUGAAAGUCUUGAGUAUGGGAGAGGUGAGUGGAACUGCGAGUGUAGAGGUGAAAUUCGUAGAUAUUCGCAAGAACACCAGUGGCGAAGGCGGCUCACUGGCCCAUUACUGACGCUGAGGCACGAAAGCGUGGGGAGCAAACAGG